CCGCUGCUGCUGACUCAUGGCAAGUGGCCAUAUGCGAAAGAAUGGGCUGCAGCAUGGGAUGAACACAUGUGAGGAGGGCUGCUGGCAUGUGACAAGGCUUGUGCCCACAGACUGCCAAAAGAUGCCCUGAGAGAAACACUGUACAUCUGGCGAGAAACCAAAAGUCACAAAUAACAGAUGAUCAUUUCAAGCCAUUAAAAGUCUGAUUUAAAUGAAAGAUAAGCUAGUUUUGCAGCAACAGACUUAAUUUAUGUUUUAGACAGGUGAAAUAAUAUAGGCCUGCCAAACAUAUUAGUCACAAACAUAUUCAUCAAGUAAGGGGCUGACUCAUUUCUCUACUUUAAGUGCUUGAGGGGUAGCUAGGUGCUAACGUCAAUGGCUCAGAACUUCAGAUCAGAUCUCUCUGAGAGUCUGGCUCACAUCAUUCUAAAUGUCUGCGGUCACAGCAGGGCAUACAUCACACUUUCAAGACCUGAGAUUUCUCAUUUAGACAAAGGCGUUUAAUGACUCGUGAGACUUUUAUUUCCUGGCAGUGUGGCGGGUCCUCUGUUGUCAAAACCAAAGGAGUGAGCUAUCUGGAGAGCUGCAGAUGAGUGCUUGUGCAGAAUGGGUGAUCCAUCCUGGAGCCAUCAGCACCAGCCGACAUGGGGACACAAGGCAGAGUUUACCCUCUGAAGCCCUUUGUAGAGUGCCACUCAGGAGCUGCUUGUUAUAUCAGAAGAGAUAAGAGUCUGACAGUGGCAAUGGUGACAGAUGACCACAGAAGAGGAGGAAAUUGUUGAUAGAGAAACUGUUUUGUGCUCAUUCUGCUUUUGCAAACUUUUAUUAGUCACUAAGUCUUGUUGCUGUAGGAUGAUUCGUCCUCUAUUUUUGAUAUUGUGUUAUUCUUCUUAUGUAAUCUAAUAACGAGGCACGAGGAGAGUAUAAAAUGUUUUCUGUGUAGAGAUGUAACUUGGUUGUUUUUGUCUUUUUGGGAGUUUAAAUGUACAAAAAAUAAAAAUUUUGGGUAGUUUUCAUACCUAAUUUCUCUUGUA